rnacentral:rRNA from 1 species
GGAGGGAGAGGAGCGCGUUCGUAGGAGAGGAGUAUGGGAGCGUGCGCGAUCCAAAGGACGCGGCGGCGGUGUGCCCUCGAACAGCUGGUCGGGUCGCAGGAGGCCUAGCGGCGGCGGGGAGAGGCUUAGCGGCGGCGGGGAGAGGCUUAGCGGCGGCAGUGGCGGGGCCUAGCGGUGGAAGCGGCAACCUUAGCGACGGUUGCAGAGCAGCGGGGCCUAGCGGCAGCAGGCCUAGCGGCGGCAGCGGACCGGUACCGCCACCUCCAGCUGCCGUGGGCCUUCGCGCCCCGCCGCCGGAAGGACCUGCUGGGGAAGCUCCACGACGUCCGCUUCGCCCCGGCCACGAGUGGCAGGCGGUGGCGCCGGAGCCAGCGGCUGGAGCCGUAGUUGUACCUCAAGCUGGGGCAGUUCCGCCAGGUCAGGCAGAAGGGGCCGCGGCUAGGCGUCGAAGACGCCCCGAUAGAGCUUCGCAGCCCUUUACAGAACCUACGACGGUAGUCUUCGAAGUCCCUAAUAAACCGUAGCCUAAGUCGUUGCUGGUUACGACCACGGAGGAGUAGACCUCCUGACUUACCCGCCUUGAUUAACAGCUUCCUCUACAGCAGGCGAAGUCUAGGCUUACUGCGGUCCUUAGCUCAGAAGUCCUAUGAACUUUACAAGCUGUUUACACGGCGUUUGACGUCAUGAGGACUACUCCGCGUAUUUUACGCACUCUACUAAUAUCGUUGAUAAAACCCGACUGGAGAACGACAAGAUCGUUUUUUUUAACAUAAAACAAAAAGAGAUGCUUUCUAGUCCUGGCUUACCUAAAAACCAGAUAUAACGUUUAUACAUAUUACCUAAUAACUGUUUCCCGUGCUGCCUACCGCGGCCGCCCUUCCACUCGUCGCCACCUCUAUUCGCUCCUUUCCUCAUCACACUCCGCCAACCGCCACAACUUCUCCUACUCUCCCGGCGUGUGAGCCACGGUACGAUGACCUCCCGGGCGACGACCUCCGUCAGGAUCCCUAAAAACCUAGUUACUGUCAUUGCAACCGCUGGGUCCACUUUAAACUUUGAAGGGAACUCUCUACGAUUUCAUGAUAAAUAAACUGGCCGAACCACAUGUAACUGGAAAUGGCGGACUUACAAUACUUAAUAUAAGCACCACCUACUAUACUUACAGCCCCUCCACUACCUCUUCAUACUGCUCCUUGAACACUUCCGACUCCCGUACCUCUUCUUCCCCUCUUAGAUUCACCCUCCAACUGUAACCGCUUCCUCUUCCGAUCUACUCACAACCGUAACCGUCUGUUGCCCAGUAACGUCUACCGUAAGUGACUUAAUAAGUUCCUUAACUUCGAGGGUUUUACUAGUUUAUUUAUUCUAUCGUUACUCUGUAUCUUACAGCACAAUAAUUAAUAGAAACAGGAUUUUUUCCUACAGCACUAUCAUCAGCACGAAACGUAUAUUCAACGAAGUUGUUGAUAUAAGAACUUUACUACACGGUAUCCAUCCACCUUUUUGAUUCUUUAUGUUCGUAAGGAGACACACACACUCUCUCACGAGAUGUGCGACGGAAAUACCUAAUUUGGCCACGAGAUUAAUUUACUAUUUAACUCACAUGAAAAAAAGAAACUGGCAAUAUACUGCUUUACUUACUUGUACACUCACGAUAGGUCUAAUAGUUACUUCACGGGACUGUAUACGAUAUUUCUCUAGCACACUUUUGUUUCGACUUCAACAACGGGUCCUACUCUUCCUUUCACCAGAAGGUCGUUGUGAUUUGUACCAGUACAUAAUGUGUAUGUAUACUACUACAUACAUUACGCAGGCUAGUAACAACAAAAAAUACAGUUCAAAUUGACAGAACGCGAUACUACCAGGUACAUUUUUAUGAACCUACUCAACGGUUG